rnacentral:rRNA from 1 species
GAAAACACUUCGGUGUGAGUAGAGUGGCGGACGGGUGAGUAACGCGUGGGAAUCUACCCAGUAGUGGGGGACAACUACCGGAAACGGUAGCUAAUACCGCAUACGCCCUAUGGGGGAAAGGCUUCGGCCGCUAUUGGAUGAGCCCGCGUCAGAUUAGCUAGUUGGUAGGGUAAAGGCCUACCAAGGCAACGAUCUGUAGCUGGUCUGAGAGGACGAACAGCCACACUGGGACUGAGACACGGUCCAGACUCCUACGGGAGGCAGCAGUGGGGAAUUUUGGACAAUGGGCGCAAGCCUGAUCCAGCAAUACCGCGUGCAGGAAGAAGGCCUUCGGGUUGUAAACUGCUUUUGUACGGAACGAAAAGGCUCUUUCUAAUAAAGAGGGCUCAUGACGGUACCGUAAGAAUAAGCACCGGCUAACUACGUGCCAGCAGCCGCGGUAAUACGUAGGGUGCGAGCGUUAAUCGGAAUUACUGGGCGUAAAGCGUGCGCAGGCGGUUUUGUAAGACAGACGUGAAAUCCCCGGGCUCAACCUGGGAAUUGCUUUUGAUACUGCUUAGCUAGAGUUUGGUAGAGGAUAGUGGAAUUCCAGGUGUAGCAGUGAAAUGCGUAGAUAUGCGGAGGAACACCGAUGGCGAAGGCAGCCCCCUGGACCUGUACUGACGCUCAUGCACGAAAGCGUGGGGAGCAAACAGGAUUAGAUACCCUGGUAGAAGGGCG